CGUAGGGUGCAAGCGUUGUACGGAAUUAUUGGGCAUAAAGAGCUCGUAGGCGGUUUGUCACGUCGGAUGUAGAAAACUCGGGGCUCCAACCCCGAGCCUGCAUACGAUACGGGCAGACUUGAGUGUGGCAGGGGAGUCUGGAAUUCCUGGUGUAGCGGUGAAAUGCGCAGAUAUCAGGAGGAACACCGGUGGCGAAGGCGGGACUCUGGGCCAAUACUGACGCUGAGGAGCGAAAGCGUGGGGAGCGAACAGGAUUAGAUACCCUGGUAGUCCACGCCGUAAACGGUGGGUGCUAGGUGUGGGGAACUUUCCACGUUCUCCGUGCCGCAGCUAACGCAUUAAGCACCCCGCCUGGGGAGUACGGCCGCAAGGCUA
rnacentral:rRNA from 1 species